rnacentral:tRNA from 1 species
CAAAAAAUAGUUUAUAAAAAUAAUAAUUUUGGAGAUUAUAGAUAAAGAGUCUACUUUUUUUUUGA